UCGGCUGCCUUCAGAGGAACUGUACUGGACACCCUUCCCCCAACCCCUCCGACCAGGGCAAGUCCUAAGAAGUGGGGUCGGAACGCAACCGGGAGGGCUCUCGGAGUUCAAGUUAAGCCCCUCGCUUUGGAUGCCCUGGGCUGGGGAGAGGGACAGAAUCUUACCAUCUCAGACAGGGGAGAUCUGGCACAGAAUUGACAUUCUCCAAUAAAGCAUAAAGGCUACAAAAUGAGUGAGUGGAAAAAAGCCAUCCAAAAAUAAAGGGAGUCUUGCUAUAUCCCUUGGAAUCCCAGCAGAUGGCAGCCACCUCCCUCCCGCCCCCAUCACACUUCUGGAAUGCAGAAAUCCAACAUCUCAGAAACCACCUGCUUUGGGGGUAGGAAGGAGGCUGAAGACAAGAAGUGACGAUUUCUUCCCAUCACAGAUUUACGCUCACCUUCAUACACUUGGCCUCAUUUGCAAAGUUUGUCCAGAAAGUAGAGAGAUGGAUGCCCUUGGAGUCAAUGGUGUCUCCUGGAUUCAUCUCCUCAUCAACAAUCAUGGGCCCAGGAUGGAGCAGUUCACUGAUGGUUAAUGACUAACCAACUGUUAAUACUGGGGAGAAUUGGGAUUUUUUUCCUUUCUUCAUUUGGAGAUUAGAUCAAAGCUUAAUUUUCUAAAGGGCAGGGCUUGAUGAUGAAAUCUUGGCAUUACCUUACCCAACUAGAGAACAAUGAAUUUAAGAUGAACUCUGGCUGUGUUCUAUUCAGGCUUGGGUGGGGAUAGGUCCUUUGUCUAGAUUCCCAGAAUCUGAGAGUGAUCAAAAUCAAGUCCCCCAGCUUCUAGUUAUAAAGAAUCCACCUAUCUAUAAUAUUCAUUCUCAUUUUUAAUGGUUGGAGUUGAUAUCCUCUGAAGAACAGGAGUUCCUCAAAAGUGGCAAUGUUGACUGGUUCCAUGAAGUGUCUCUGGCAUCCUAAAGCACAGCUGACCCCUUUUAAUGAUCCAUAAUGAUUAAUUACCCAGAAAUGUCUCGAACUUUUUAUGUCAUAACAUUAAAGCAAACCUAUUAAAAGUUUUCAUCUGUAAGGAUUUAUUCCUGUAGCUCAAAGCUGC
rnacentral:lncRNA from 1 species